AGGGUGGAGUGAGGGAGCAGCUUGUGUAAAGAAAUCAUUGAGAAAUUUCUAGCGUAACUGGAGGGAAUUAUAAACGACAUCGACUUGGAGCAUAAACUUGCUGCCUAGUUACGAGCCACAGCAAAGGUCUCCAGGACGCGUCUUACAGAACAAACAGAAGACAAGGGCGGGAGCUUCCCGAGCGCAGGGAGGGGCGCUCUGGAUGCCCAGGGGGUGGCCCUCCUUCAUUCUAAUGCCACACGGGCCCUGCUUUCACCUGGGCCAACCUGAGGGGUCCUGGGCAACUGGGGGUCCUGACCUGGGGUCGAGGCUAGUUAAAGCACCUGGCAUGCUGACUUGGUUGUGACCUUCUGCUCGUCACACGAGUGAAAUGCAGAUUCCUGAAGUCUGUGUGGCACAGAGCCCCUGGCCCUGGUGGAUCUCCUCUGGGAGCCACUGGGGCUCUGCCUCUGGGCCCUGAGCCUCGGGAACAAGCCCCACCCGGCCCCCAGCAGCACCUGGUCCUUCGCCACCACCUCCAGGGCAUGAGUGAGCUCCGGCCAGAGGGCCUCCCUCUGCACAGGAGUAUGUGCGGAGCCUGCUUGCCUGAGGAAGGGCGGUUGCAGGUGUUGGGGUGCAGCAGGUUUGGGGGGCAAGGCUCUGGUAAGAGUUCAGCCUCCCCUCGGACUGGGAAAAUGCCGAAGACAGUGCCAGCAGCGCUUUCCACGAGGUGGUGGCUGAAUCCAGGACUGGACCUGGAGACAGCUGACCCAGGGGUCCGGGCCCCUCUCUGGGCAGGGCAAUCCCAGGCACACCCUUAAUAGCCAGAAACACCCCCAGACGUUGGCGAAUGCCCGGGAGUAAACGCCUGCCAGGGCAGCCGCUCCAGCCCCAUGAGGGGGCUGGUGUUUUCUCAAGGGCUGCUUCCUUCCAGCCAGAGUGGGAAUUGAAUCAGGACCAGCUGAAAAACUUGCAGAACCCAGUGGCAAAUCAAAACACGGGGCUCCUGGUUCGAAUAUGAUGUGAUGCCAGGUGUUGGGCCAGACGCGGGCCUGCUGGCCUUGGCCGCCUGCCCAUGAAGCUGGUUGGCGCUGAAUCAAAUACAAUGCCCCCGAAACAGUGAAUCACCAACAAGCUGCAGAAAUCUCUCAUAGCAAUGAUUUCAAUAGACUCUUUUAAACUUGGUGGCCCACGGGUGGCUGGUGUAGGGACCCCAGUCUGAGCUCCGCCCUGUGCCGAGUAGCUUCGCCUUUCCCAAAGCCUGGCCUCCACAGGACGAGAGGGGCCCAAGGCAGCGGCGUGGCAGCAGGAUGGGCCUCUCCUGGAAGCAGGUACCGUUUUAGGUGGUGUGUUCCUUGAAGGCAAGAAUGAUGUUUCACAAUAUACACCCAGUGCCUAUCACAGCUUCUUCUACUGUGGUUAAAACAAAACAAAACAAAAAAAAAAAAAAAAAAAAAAGAGCGUUACCAUAAACCCUCCGGCCAUUUCUAAGCUGCUUCAGGAAUGUAAAUAACAUUCACCUUGUUACUGAAUCAUCUCCAGAUCUUUGCAACCUCACAAAACUGCAACUGUCCCGUUAAACAACCCUUGCCACCACCUAGCCCUCAGGCCCCAGCAAACACCCUGCGAAAGAAUCUUUGCCACUUACUAAUCCAGGUGCCUCAUAAGAGUGGAAUGACACAGUCCUUGGGGUUUUUUGUAAAUGUACAUUUUUGGGUAACUUUUACUUCGCUUAAUGGCCUCAAAAUCUCUCCACGUUGCAGCACAUCGCAGAAAUCCCCCCUUUUUAUUUGUCGUGGUCACUCCUAUUAUCUUUCUUCUAGUUUGUUGACAUACAGUGUUCGGUAGGCUUAAGGCGUGUGGCACAAGGAGGUGACCCGCCCGCCUCAUGAAAUGACCGUCACGACGUCAGAAGUUCCCCUGGGGCCCUGGUGGGUCUGUGGCCGGCAUUCCAAUCCCCGCCACCGGGCAGGAGGGAGGCCACAGAGGCUGCCGGGGGUCGCCCUGGUGGGCUUCCCUUCAAGGACUGGUGGGGUCAGCCUCCCGGGCCUGCGGGACUCCGGGCCUUCAGGGCGCGGCGGGCUCUUCACUCAGAGAGACAAACUGCACUUUAGCAUGAACAGUGAGCUGUCUCCACCUACUCCCCGUCCCCACGUCCCUGGAUCCUGGUUGUGAACUGAAGUUUGGCACCUGCCAUGAGCCUCUGCGUGGAGUAAAGACCGACCCGCGGCAGCCCCGGCGUGGAGCUCAGGGUGGACCCCAGGGGAGAGGCCUUCCGACAGCAGGAGAUUUUCUGCGCCCGAUUCUUGCAUCUCCUCAUGUCUAGAAAAACACUAAAAUCCUUCACGGCGAUGUCUGCUCCUCGUGACCGGUAGCGACCUUCGGGAGACCCGCUAGAAACGUCCAUAUGUUGUGUGCGAGCUGCGCGCAGCUCCGUCCCCUGCACCACAUCCUGAUGCUCCCCGCUUCCCCCUCGGGGGGUCUUCGGACUCCGGUCCGGUCUGUGGUCACGGAUAAAGAAUGUCACAGUCAUCUGGGAACGGCGUCUCCUCCAAGGGUGAGAGCAGGCGAGUCCUGCCGGCUGUGAAAACUCAGGAUACGGGUCCUGAGAGCGGAGGUGCAGAUCAAAGGCACGGUUUCAGGGAGCCCUGCUCCCCGCCCUCUGUCCAAAGACUCCGCUAAGUCCCAGCUCCUCCCUCGCCACCUUGGAGAGGUUUCUCAGGGCUGCCGGAGGUGCUGUCUCCCAGGAGUAAGUCC
rnacentral:lncRNA from 1 species